rnacentral:misc_RNA from 1 species
UGGUUCUGGCAUCGAUGAAGAACGCAGCGAAAUGCGAUAAGUAAUGUGAAUUGCAGAAUUCAGUGAAUCAUCGAAUCUUUGAACGCACAUUGCGCCCGCCGGGAAAUCCGGCGGGCAUGCCUGUUCGAGCGUCAUUUCAACCCUCAAACCCCCGGGUUUGGUGUUGGGGAUCGGCGAGCCCUCCUGGGCGCGCCGUCCCCCAAAUCUAGUGGCGGUCUCGCUGUAGCUUCCUAUGCGUAGUAGCACACCUCGCACCGGAAAGCAGCGCGGCCACGCCGUUAAACACCCCAAUUUCUGAAUGUUGACCUCGGAUCAGGUAGGACUACCCGCUGA